UUAGUAAUUCGCCUUGUCGCUAUUUUUUUAAAUAGAGGAAAGUCCGGACACUAAAGUACAUCAUAGUGGUUAAUAGCCACCAAUUGAGAAAUUAGGAAAAGUGCAACAGAAAGUAUGUACAGGUUAAGCUGUAGUGAAACCAGGUAAACUCUAUGAAGUGCAAUGCCAUGUAAACCAACGCUUAAGAGUUGUACGCUCAAUGUUGGAGGGUAGGCAGCUAGAAUAUGUUGGUAACAACUUAUCGAGAUAAAUGACAAGGGCUUUUAAUUAAGUACAGAAUCCGGCUUAUAGAUUUACUAAAAUU
rnacentral:RNase_P_RNA from 1 species